rnacentral:rRNA from 1 species
UGGGGAAUUUUGCACAAUGGGCGGACGCCUGAUGCAGCGACGCCGUGUGGGGGAUGAAGGCCUUCGGGUUGUACACUCCUUUCGUCAGGGACGAAGUUUGUUUGACGGUACCUGGAUAAGAAGCACCGGCUAACUACGUGCCAGCAGCCGCGGUAAUACGUAGGGUGCGAGCGUUGUCCGGAUUUACUGGGCGUAAAGGGCUCGUAGGUGGUGUGUUGCGUCGUCUGUGUAAUCCAGGGGCUUAACUUUUGGUUGGCAGGCGGUACGGGCAUUGCUUGAGUGCUGUAGGGGAGACUGGAAUUACUGGUGUAGCGGUGAAAUGCGCAGAUAUCAGGAGGAACACCGAUGGCGAAGGCAGGUCUCUGGGCAGUUACUGACGCUGAGGAGCGAGGGCAUGGGUAGCGAACAGG